UGAAUACGAGAUGCUACGGCGUCGAAGCAGUCUAUGUCAUACUUCCAAGAAAAGCUUGCACUGUCAUAAACAAAUAAUGCCUGUACCAUAACCGACACAGGUGGGUAGGUAGAGUAUACUAAGGGGCGCGAGAUAACUCUCUCUAAGGAACUCGGCAAAAUGACUCCGUAACUUCGGGAGAAGGAGUGCCUUAUUUUAUAAGGUUGCAAUAACAAGAUCCAAGCAACUGUUUACCAAAAACACAGGUCUCCGCUAAGUCGUAAGACGAUGUAUGGGGGCUGACGCCUGCCCAGUGCCAGAAGGUUAAAGAAGUUGGUUAGCAUCCGCGAAGCUGAUAACUGAAGCCCUGGUGAACGGCGGCCGUAACAAUAACGGUCCUAAGGUAGCGAAAUUCCUUGUCGGGUAAGUUCCGACCCGCACGAAAGGCGUAAUGAUUUGGAUACUGUCUCAGAGAGGGGCUCGGUGAAAUAGACUUGUCUGUGAAGAUGCGGACUACCUGCACCAGGACAGAAAGACCCUAUGAAGCUUUACUGUAACUUGAAAUUGAAAUUGGACUUUACUUGCGCAGUAUAGGUGGGAGGCGUUGAGAAUAUUCUUGCGGGAAUGUUGGAGCCAUCAGUGAGAUACCACUCUUGUAAUGUUAGAUUUCUAACUUUGUAUCAUUAUCUGGUCAAAGGACAGUUUCAGGCGGGCAGUUUGACUGGGGCGGUCGCCUCCCAAACGGUAACGGAGGCGCACAAAGGUUUCCUCUGAACGGGUAGAAAUCGUAUCUAGAGUGUAAAGGCAUAAGGAAGCUUGACUGUGAGACCUACAAGUCGAGCAGGGACGAAAGUCGGUCUUAGUGAUCUGACGGUGCUGAGUGGAAAGGCCGUCACUCAACGGAUAAAAGUUACUCUAGGAUAACAGGCUGAUCUCCCCCAAGAGUUCACAUCGACGGGGAGGUUUGGCACCUCGAUGUCGGCUCAUCGCAUCCUGGGGCGGUAGUACGUCCCAAGGGUUGGGCUGUUCGCCCAUGAAAGUGGUACGCGAGCUGGGUUCAGAACGUCGUGAGACAGUUCGGUCCAUAUCCGGUGUAGGCGUUAGAAUAUUGAGAGGAGCCUUCUUUAGUACGAGAGGACCGAGAAGGACAUACCUCUGGUGUACCAGUUAUCGUGCCAACGGUAAACGCUGGGUAGCUAUGUAUGGAGUGGAUAACCGCUGAAAGCAUCUAAGUGGGAAGCCCACCUCAAGAUAAG
rnacentral:rRNA from 1 species